UACGGAGGGGGCAAGCGUUGUUCGGAAUUACUGGGCGUAAAGGGCGCGCAGGCGGCUGCUCAAGUCAGGCGUGAAAGGCCUGGGCUCAACCCGGGAAUUGCGCUUGAGACUGGGCUGGCUUGAGUGCGGGGAGAGGAGACUGGAAUUCCCGGUGUAGCAGUGAAAUGCGUAGAGAUGCGGAGGAACACCGAUGGCGAAGGCAGCCCCCUGGGCUAGCACGUGACGCUCAGGCACGGAAAGCGUGGGGAGCAAACAGG
rnacentral:rRNA from 1 species